CCUACGGGAGGCUUCAGUGAGGAAUAUUGGUCAAUGGGCGCUAGCCUGAACCAGCCAAGUAGCGUGAAGGAUGACUGCCCUAUGGGUUGUAAACUUCUUUUAUAUGGGAAUAAAGUGCAGUAUGUAUACUGCUUUGCAUGUACCUUAUGAAUAAGGAUCGGCUAACUCCGUGCCAGCAGCCGCGGUAAUACGGAGGAUCCGAGCGUUAUCCGGAUUUAUUGGGUUUAAAGGGAGCGUAGGCGGGUUGUUAAGUCAGUUGUGAAAGUUUGCGGCUCAACCGUAAAAUUGCAGUUGAUACUGGCAGCCUUGAGUACAGUAGAGGUAGGCGGAAUUCGUGGUGUAGCGGUGAAAUGCUUAGAUAUCACGAAGAACUCCGAUUGCGAAGGCAGCCUGCUGGACUGUAACUGACGCUGAUGCUCGAAAGUGUGGGUAUCAAACAGGAUUAGAUACCCUAGUAGUC
rnacentral:rRNA from 1 species